rnacentral:rRNA from 1 species
GAUGAACGCUAGCGACAGGCUUAACACAUGCAAGUCGAGGGGCAGCGAGGGCGUAGCAAUACGCCUGUCGGCGACCGGCGCACUGGUGAGUAACACGUAUGCGACCUGCCCCCUACAGGGGGUAUAACCCGUAGAAAUGCGGACUAAUCCCCCCAUAGUCCUGGGUGCUGCAUGGCAUUCAGGGGAAAGGGUUUCCGGUAGGGGAUGGGCAUGCGGCGCAUUAGCUAGUUGGCGGGGCAACGGCCCACCAAGGCGACGAUGCGUAGGGGUUCUGAGAGGAAGGUCCCCCACACUGGUACUGAGACACGGACCAGACUCCUACGGGAGGCAGCAGUGAGGAAUAUUGGUCAAUGGGCGCAGGCCUGAACCAGCCAAGUCGCGUGAGGGAAGACGGUCCUACGGAUUGUAAACCUCUUUUGUCGGGGAGUAACGUGCGGGACGCGUCCCGUAUUGAGAGUACCCGAAGAAAAAGCAUCGGCUAACUCCGUG